GGGUGUGUAGCUCAGUGGUAGAGCACAUGAUUUGCAUAUAAGAGACCACAAAGAGAGUGAGACCUUGGGUUCAACUCUCAGCAUGACCA
rnacentral:tRNA from 1 species